rnacentral:rRNA from 1 species
UACGUAGGUGGCAAGCGUUGUCCGGAUUUACUGGGCGUAAAGAGCGCGCAGGCGGUCGUGCAAGUCGCGUGUGAAAGCCCCCGGCUCAACUGGGGAGGGUCACGCGAUACUGCUCGACUCGAAGGCAGGAGAGGGAAGUGGAAUUCCCGGUGUAGUGGUGAAAUGCGCAGAUAUCAGGAGGAACACCGGUGGCGAAGGCGGGUCUCUGGGCCGAUACUGACGCUGAGGAGCGAAAGCGUGGGGAGCGAACAGG